GACGAACGCUGGCGGCGUGCUUAACACAUGCGAGUCGAACGGAAAGGCCCUGCUUGCCGGGUACUCGAGUGGCGAACGGGUGAGUAACACGUGGGUGAUCUGCCCUGCACUUCGGGAUAAGCCUGGGAAACUGGGUCUAAUACCGGAUAGGAGCCAUUUUUAGUGUGAUGGUUGGAAAGUUUUUUCGGUGUAGGAUGAGCUCGCGGCCUAUCAGCUUGUUGGUGGGGUAAUGGCCUACCAAGGCGGCGACGGGUAGCCGGCCUGAGAGGGUGGACGGCCACAUUGGGACUGAGAUACGGCCCAGACUCCUACGGGAGGCAGCAGUGGGGAAGAUUGCACAAUGGGCGCAAGCCUGAUGCAGCGACGCCGCGUGGGGGAGGACGGCCUUCGGGUUGUAAACGCCUUUCGCUAGGGACGAAGCUUUUUGUGACGGUACCUAGAUAAGAAGCACCGGCUAACUACGUG
rnacentral:rRNA from 1 species